AUCACUCGGCUCGUGGAUCGAUGAAGACCGCAGCUAAAUGCGCGUCACAAUGUGAACUGCAGGACACAUGAACACCGAUAAGUUGAACGCAUAUUGCGCAUCGUGCGACACAGCUCGAUGUACACAUUUUUGAGUGCCCAUAUUUGACCCUCCAAGUCAAACUACGCCGGCCUAGCCGUGCGUGCAUAAUGAUGUCACUGGUUGUGGCAUUGAAAACGAUGCGUGCACCCCAGGGCUCAACUUACAGAUUGGACUCGGGACCGACAGCUCACCAAAGUAACCUAAUACGUUGAAGCGUGCAAGUCUGUUCGGCCCGGUCAGUCAUCGUGAGGCGAGUCCAUCGUGCACGCACACACUUCGAGUCGUGUGACAGCGACCGAAGAAACAUGCUCCUAGCAGCGGGAGUACAUGGGCCUCAAAUAAUGUGUGACUACCCCCUAAAUUUAAGCAU
rnacentral:misc_RNA from 1 species